rnacentral:rRNA from 1 species
UGAGGAAUCUUCCACAAUGGGCGAAAGCCUGAUGGAGCAACGCCGCGUGCAGGAUGAAGGCCUUCGGGUCGUAAACUGCUUUUAUUUGUGAAGAAUAUGACGGUAACAAAUGAAUAAGGGUCGGCUAACUACGUGCCAGCAGCCGCGGUCAUACGUAGGACCCAAGCGUUAUCCGGAGUGACUGGGCGUAAAGAGUUGCGUAGGUGGUUAGUAAAGCGAAUAGUGAAACCUGGUGGCUCAACCAUACAGACUAUUAUUCGAACUCACUAACUCGAGAGUGGUAGAGGUAACUGGAAUUUCUUGUGUAGGAGUGAAAUCCGUAGAUAUAAGAAGGAACACCAAUGGCGUAGGCAGGUUACUGGACCAUUUCUGACACUGAGGCACGAAAGCGUGGGGAGCGAACC